rnacentral:rRNA from 1 species
UGUCACUUAUAGAUGGAUCCGCGCUGCAUUAGCUAGUUGGUAAGGUAACGGCUUACCAAGGCAACGAUGCAUAGCCGACCUGAGAGGGUGAUCGGCCACACUGGAACUGAGACACGGUCCAGACUCCUACGGGAGGCAGCAGUAGGGAAUCUUCCGCAAUGGGCGAAAGCCUGACGGAGCAACGCCGCGUGAGUGAUGAAGGUCUUCGGAUCGUAAAACUCUGUUAUUAGGGAAGAACAUAUGUGUAAGUAACUGUGCACAUCUUGACGGUACCUAAUCAGAAAGCCACGGCUAACUACGUGCCAGCAGCCGCGGUAAUACGUAGGUGGCAAGCGUUAUCCGGAAUUAUUGGGCGUAAAGCGCGCGUAGGCGGUUUUUUAAGUCUGAUGUGAAAGCCCACGGCUCAACCGUGGAGGGUCAUUGGAAACUGGAAAACUUGAGUGCAGAAGAGGAAAGUGGAAUUCCAUGUGUAGCGGUGAAAUGCGCAGAGAUAUGGAGGAACACCAGUGGCGAAGGCGACUUUCUGGUCUGUAACUGACGCUGAUGUGCGAAAGCGUGGGGAUCAAACAGGAUUAGAUACCCUGGUAGUCCACGCCGUAAACGAUGAGUGCUAAGUGUUAGGGGGUUUCCGCCCCUUAGUGCUGCAGCUAACGCAUUAAGCACUCCGCCUGGGGAGUACGACCGCAAGGUUGAAACUCAAAGGAAUUGACGGGGACCCGCACAAGCGGUGGAGCAUGUGGUUUAAUUCGAAGCAACGCGAAGAACCUUACCAAAUCUUGACAUCCUUUGACAACUCUAGAGAUAGAGCUUUCCCCUUCGGGGGACAAAGUGACAGGUGGUGCAUGGUUGUCGUCAGCUCGUGUCGUGAGAUGUUGGGUUAAGUCCCGCAACGAGCGCAACCCUUAAGCUUAGUUGCCAUCAUUAAGUUGGGCACUCUAAGUUGACUGCCGGUGACAAACCGGAGGAAGGUGGGGAUGACGUCAAAUCAUCAUGCCCCUUAUGAUUUGGGCUACACACGUGCUACAAUGGACAAUACAAAGGGCAGCGAAACCGCGAGGUCAAGCAAAUCCCAUAAAGUUGUUCUCAGUUCGGAUUGUAGUCUGCAACUCGACUACAUGAAGCUGGAAUCGCUAGUAAUCGUAGAUCAGCAUGCUACGGUGAAUACGUUCCCGGGUCUUGUACACACCGCCCGUCACACCACGAGAGUUUGUAACACCCGAAGCCGGUGGAGUAACCUUUUAGGAGCUAGCCGUCGAAGGUGGGACAAAUGAUUGGGGUGAAGUCGUAACAAGGUAGCCGUAUCGGAAGGUGCGGCUG